UACGGGGGGAGCAAGCGUUGUUCGGAUUUACUGGGCGUAAAGGGCGCGUAGGCGGCCACCGCAAGUCAGUUGUGAAAUCUCUGGGCUUAACCCAGAAAGGUCAACUGAUACUGCGGGGCUAGAGUGCAGAAGGGGGCAACUGGAAUUCUCGGUGUAGCGGUGAAAUGCGUAGAUAUCGAGAGGAACACCUGCGGCGAAGGCGGGUUGCUGGGCUGACACUGACGCUGAAGCGCGAAAGCUAGGGGGAGCGAACGGG
rnacentral:rRNA from 1 species